CUCUAGCCCGGAUAAUAGUGGAAAUCCUUUUUUGUUAGUAUAAAAACCCAUCGACUGCGAUCAGGGUGACACAAAAAAGAUUGCAACGGAUAGCCGGAUUAGCU
rnacentral:ncRNA from 2 species